rnacentral:lncRNA from 1 species
AUGAGGACAUAUAGGAAAUGGGAAAAUAAUGGGGAAAUGGGGAAAGGGAAAAUAGGGAAAAAAAACAAGGGAAAAAAAAAAAGGAAAAGAAAAGGGGGAAAGAAGGCGGCAAUGGCAAAAGGGGAAGGGGCAGGGGCCGGGGGGGGGCAGCCCGCGGGAGGAGCCCGGCAGCCCCGUGCCGGCCCCGCAGCGCCCCCUGCCGGCGGGCGGCCGGGUCCGUCCCCGUGCUCGCGUGGUGGGACGUGGGGAGGGCUUGGCGGCUCCCUCUGGUUAAUCCCAGAGGCUCUAGAUCUGGUUUCGGGGGCCUUCAGGCCAGCCCCGAGCAGCUUGGUGCCCCCCAGCCCCUCUGCGCCCCUGACACGGGGCAGCCGGGGCAGUUUUGGGGCCCCCAGGCGCCCAGCCCGCCUCAGGGUGCUGCGUUUUGGUGGCUCCCAGCUCGGCUGCACCGUGCACGAGGCCUCGUCGCCUCCGCGUCUCACACAGCACCAUCAGGGAUGCUCAGCACCGGCAGCCCCGUCCCCGUGCCUCGUGCCUCUGCCGUGGCCUUCCCGGCAAAUCCCCGCGCCUCUCGCCGGCCCGUCUGGAAGCCACCUCCUCCCAUUGUUCCAGCAGCCACCUCGCGAGGCGAUGCCACGCUCCUUUCGCUUUCCACCGCUCACGCGCUGUCAGCCCACCGCCACUUCUCCGGCCUCUUUCUGCCAAAACCCCUCCGUGGCGCGGCCUGCUCCCAUCUCCCGUAGCGCUGCCACUGCUCCCAACGCCGUGCGGGGCUGGACGGAGGGAGGGGAGCAAAAACCUCUUGGGGUCUCGCCGCCCCGGCUCGGCCCUAACCCUGGUCCCGGCACUUCAAAGGGCCCGAGCAGAUUUCCCUGCGCUCCAGACGCUCCCUCCCAUUUCCUGCUGGAUUCCCGUCUCGCUCCCUUCGCCCGCAUCAGCAAAACAGAGUGUAAAAAUAGAGGCCGGGCUUCACCCAAACACAAUAGUAAAUUGUUCCCCGGAAAGGUCACUGGGGCGUCUCAGAAUAGCUCCGGGAGCAGGGGAAAAUGA